GGCGUUUACCACACAAACCAAGAAUCCAAGAUCAUUCACUCGCCUUCUUUCCCAAAGCAGAAGUUUUGAUCUUUAUCAGAAAGUGCUUAAGACAAAGUGAAUGCAGAUUAAAACAAAAACAAAACACACACACACACAGCACCUUUCAAGUAUUCAUUUGAACCACAUGAAAAUACUGUUUAGACAGCUCAAAAAUGAUCACAUAUUGGCUAUUUCAUAUUUCAACUGUUAGGUUCAAAGUAACAGUUUUAGAAGCAGGUCUGAAAGCUUUGGUGCACAUGGGACAUCAUAGCACUCUGUAGAAUAUUGUGGCCUUUAUGGAACCUUAUGUAUUUAACUGCAUCAGAUAAACUAGGAACAAUUUUAUUUGUAGAAUAUAAUAUCAUAUUCACUUGUGUGACAUAAAAGUGCAUGCAAGUGAACCCAUAUUUAAAUAUAAACAUGAUAACAUCAUCCAUUGUAUUUUUGUUUACAGCUUGACACCAGCCACCACAGGGGCUAGACUUGUCCUCAUGCAACAAUGCUGGUCAGGGGGGAAUAAAAGAAUGGGACAUGCAAGGGAGAAUAAAGGGAACCCAUUCAAGGGUCAAGGCUAUAGUGAAAGUUUUUUUUUUUUUUGGGGGGGGGGUCUUCGUGGAUCUAUGGGAAAAUAGUCCCUGAUCCCAGCUUCACUGAAAAAGACUUAGAAGUUUUGGCUCCCUGUGGCUCAGCUUUGGCACUACCAAAGGGCAAGGCCAAGUGCAAGAAACAAGAACACUUUGUCCUCCCUCACUCUCAGCCUAUAUGCUCAUCAACAGAGACCAAAUCAGGCAAUCAAAAAUGCCCAUUCUUAAAUCAGCCUGAUAACACAACAUUGAUCAGACCCAUCCAGGUGCCCCAUUUCCCCGAGGAAACCCAAUCCCUAUUAAGCAGACUCAGCGUGCUCUCACCAUUAAAAACAGGAUGCUGCCUACCUCCAUUCUUCCUUCAUUACGGCCAGGUUAUUGCAUGUUUUUAUUUAAUAAACCUUCACCGGCUCAAAUGAAGGGUUGUUAUUAGUUGAGCUAACAGCCAAAUGAUAAUGCUCCAGAGAGAUAUCAGUGCUCGUUGGUGCAUUAACAAAAAGAGGAGAAGGGCUGAGGUCAAGCAUGUGUCAAUGUAAAUGAGGCGAUAUUAGGUACUAAGGGCUUAAUGCAAUAGACUGCCAGGGAGAUAAUGGAAUUUACAGGAUAAGGCAAAUGAGAUGAAGUUAUUGAUAAGUGAAUGAAAGGAGAGGGGGGCCUGUAAGAUAAAGUACCUUCAAAGAAAAGUCCCUUCACUUGUGAAUUUCUUCUUUAAAGUAUCUUCAAAUCUGUCUUAGAAAACAAAACUCAAAAGAGAUCAAAUGGGACUUCUAGCUUCACGAAAGAUCUCACACCCAUAUGGCCAUAAAAUACAGACUUGCUCUAAAAGCAUACAAUUUUAUUAAACUAUUCUUGAGAUUUCUUUAGGAUCACACUUAUUUUGUUUUUUGGGGUAUUUUUUCUUAGACAUCAGGGCAUUCUACCACAAAUAAUUCCCAUAUUAUAUUAAAGCAAAAGGCAUCUUCUUUUUUUUAUUCUUCCUAAAGUAGGGGCACCCAGGUCUUCUAAGAUAUUCGAUCAGCCAAAGCCUAACAGAAUGACAGUAUCUGAGAGAUGAAAUCUAAGAACUUUCUAUUGUAAGAGACCUUUAAAUAUUGUAAAGACUGGGGUCCUACUCCUAUUUUCAAGAUUAAAACAAAGGUAAGGCCCAGAAUGGUACUUUUUUUUUUUUCCUAAAACUUUAUUUUACUUCCAAAUUACAGAAGUAACACAUGGUCAACCAAGAAAACUUGAAAGAUACAGAAAAUCACAAAAGAAAAAGACCAACCAUAUUCUCACUCAUCUGAUGUAAUAAUACGUAAUAUUUUAGCCUGACUCCUUCCAAUCACUCUAACGUGAAAAGUUUUUAUUAAAAAGGUUAUUAUUUUCCAUUUGUUUCUUAUACAUGGGGUACAAGUGCAAUUCUGCUGCACUGAUGUAUUGCACUGUGGUGACGUCAGGGCCUUCAGUGAACCCGUCACUGAAACAGCACACGUCGUACCCACCAAGGAGCUCCCAGCAUCCACUCCCUCCCACUCCCCCCAAAUAGUUAUUUUUAAACAUGCUUUUUCAGUUGGCGAUAUAUUGAGAACAUCUGACCAUCCCUAAAUAUCAUGACUUUCAGUGUUCAUAUUACUCCAUAAUAUAUAAAUACAAAUAUACCACAGUGACUUAAACUAAUUCCCUACGUUUAAGUCAUUGCCAUUUUUUUCACUUUCAUAGAUCUUACUGUGAUAAAUAACCUUGUGUACAUGUUUUUGAACACACAAUAAUUAAAAUUCCUAAUUCUUUCCUUAACAUAAAAUUCUAGAAGUAGAAUUUCAAGUUCAAAGUUCUUCAUAUACUUAGGGGUUCUGAUGCAUAGUGUCAGAUUAAGAGCCUUAUUUGUUCUAAAUGGCCUCAGAUCUGUUCACGAUCACUUUCCUGAUGAAAUUAAACUAUACUCAACGCCUUAUGAAAAAGAAAAAAUUCCAAACGGACUUGACCAAUGUAUAAAAAGUUUGGACCAUCUGGGAAGAGAGUCAAAUCCAUCUGUCAGCUCACAUUUAUCCUGAAGAACAUAGAUUCUACCAAUAUAACAUAAAUCGAUAUAUGAAAGUAAUGUCAAAAAUGGGAAGUGUCAACUGUUCUGUGGUCUCAAGAUUUAAAAGGUGGUAAGGCAUGAAUAUGAAAAUCUUCAUCUGCCUUGGUGCCCACUAAAAUCUAUUCCCAGCACAGCAGCUAGAGUGAGAAUUUUAAAAUGUCACAUCAUGUCAUUCCUGUGCUCAGAACCUUACGAUGGUUUCUCAUCAUACUCCUAGGUGAUCUGGCCCCCCGCACUGCACUGCACACCCCAGUUUUCUCAUCUCUCUCCCGCCACUCUCUCCACCUCUCACUUUGCUCCAGCCUCACUGGCCUCCUUACUGCUUCUCCAAACUUCCAAUCAUGGCCCUGCCUCAGGACCUUUGCACCUGCUUCCCUUGCUGCUAGAGUGUAUUUCCUGAUGCUCUUCCUCAUCUCCUUUAGGCGUUGGCUCACAUGGGACCUCAGGGAAGCCUUCCCUGACCAACCCAGCUAAAACAGCAACUCCCUAGUCUCCCCUUCCUUGUUUGUUUUUUUUGUUUGUUUGUUGUGAGUUUUUUGUUGUUGUUGUUGUUUUGGCAUAGCACUUGUUCCCAUCUGUUAUACUACACUUUUACUUAUUAAUUCGUUUAUAGUCUGUCUCCCCCGAUUAGAAUGUGAACUAGAAUGCAAACUCCACAAGGACAGAAAUGCUUGUGUUUCUUCACUUCUAUACCCCAGAGCCCAGAACAAUACUCAGCACAAAUCAGACAUCCAAAAUAUAGAGACUAAAUAAAUGUUCUUAAAUGUUA